rnacentral:rRNA from 1 species
AGUGGCGGACGGGUGAGUAACGCGUGGGCAACCUGCCCCAUACAGGGGGAUAACAGCCGGAAACGGCUGCUAAAACCGCAUAAGCGCACAAGGGCCGCAUGGCCUGGUGUGAAAAACUCCGGUGGUAUGGGAUGGGCCCGCGUCUGAUUAGCUAGUUGGCGGGGGAGAGGCCCACCAAGGCGACGAUCAGUAGCCGACCUGAGAGGGUGGCCGGCCACAUUGGGACUGAGACACGGCCCAAACUCCUACGGGAGGCAGCAGUGGGGAAUAUUGCACAAUGGGGGAAACCCUGAUGCAGCGACGCCGCGUGAGCGAAGAAGUAUUUCGGUAUGUAAAGCUCUAUCAGCAGGGAAGAAAAAUGACGGUACCUGAGUAAGAAGCACCGGCUAAAUACGUGCCAGCAGCCGCGGUAAUACGUAUGGUGCAAGCGUUAUCCGGAUUUACUGGGUGUAAAGGGAGCGCAGGCGGUGCGGCAAGUCUGAUGUGAAAGCCCGGGGCUCAACCCCGGGACUGCAUUGGAAACUACCGAACUAGAGUGUCGGAGAGGUAAGUGGAAUUCCUAGUGUAGCGGUGAAAUGCGUAGAUAUUAGGAGGAACACCAGUGGCGAAGGCGGCUUACUGGACNAUACUGACGCUGAGGCUCGAAAGCGUGGGGAGCAAACAGGAUUAGAUACCCUGGUA